ensembl:lncRNA
CAAUGAAACAAGAUCAAACUAUUUUAGAGAUUCUAUCUCAUUCUUUUGUAAGUCAUAUGAGGGUUAGACCACAGUGUUUCCAAUCAGUGGCUCUAAGAUACACAUGAAUAUCACCUCUCCUAAUGAAGGGCUUCUAGAAUCCAUAGACUGCUGGCUUUUCAAGUUACCAGUCCCUUUAAGGUUGUACAGAGGUUCACUACCCUCUUCAUGUUAUGGACACACCUACAGAGCAGUCACAGCUUUGAUACCCUAAUGGGUAGGAUGAAGCAGGGUGACGUGAAGGACGUUUGGGACUGAAUGGUGUGCAUGCUUCCCCAUGUCAGUACAUAAAACAGGACUGCAGGAGUCCCCGUAUAGAAUAAUAGAAUCGUAAAACAAUUUAUGUUGGAAAACACCCUUCAGAUCAUCAAGUCCAGCCAUCAAUCUAUCACUACCAAGUCCACCACCUAACCAAGUCCCUAAUCAUCACACUCACAUACAUCUGAAACACCACCAGGGAUGGUGACUCCACCAUUGGGUUCAACAGCUUCAUGAAGAACAGCCUUCAACAUUCUCUGUGACGCCAGCCCAGGAUGCCUGGUUCAGAGGCUUCCCUUAGAGAGUGCCCCAGAGCAGAGCAUCUGUGCUAGCAUCAGGAGGUGGGUCCUGCACUCCCAGGGACCCCUCAGCAGCUCUGCAGUACUUUAGUCAGGAUGCCACUUUGGGCAGGUAAGUCCCCAUGGCAUGUUGCCUGAAUGCCAGCUCUAAUUUUAGGAACAUUAAUCUUUUUUUAUUUUCCCUGUGUAAUUAAUAGAUAACAUACUGAACAUACAAUAAGAAUGCACGAGGGUGCUUGUACUCUCCUAAUUCACAACUUGAAUACUAAUAAGUGUUGGUUUUGCUUGCUGCGAGAAUUCACACAGAUGAGAAACUCACUGGAAGUGAGAAAAAGAGAUUAAAAUGACCAAUAAACGGAGCCGAGUCAGAUUAUUUUUGUAGUGUUGACACAGUGCAUUGACUCAAGUGACCAAGCUUCCCUUACAAAGACACACUUCGUUGCCAUACCAUCAGCUCUUUCCUUUGUCCACUUUCACCACAGCCCCACAGAAGGCAUUUUAUCCCAGCCUGCCCCCAUAGCCCCUUUCAUCUCAUACUUAAAACUUUCAAAUUUUAAUGCUAUAUUAAAUGUGCUACAGAAUUCAACCAGCUGCAGAGAACAGGUAGCCCCACACCCCCUGCAAACCAGGGUGAAAGAUCCUAGAAGCAGCUGGACUCUCACCAGUGGAGUCUAGUCUAAAAACUAAUAACGAAAUCCAUAUAUAUUAUCUCCAGGUUGAAAAAAAAUCUAAUACAUUGGGAAAAAUCACUCUUUUUCUUUAAAGGUGCACAUUCAGUCUGUUAAUUGAAGAGCAGACACUGGAAAUUAUCAGAUAAUUGGUUCUUGCCUUAAGUGAUUUAUUGGGCAUUGUAAUAUACAUAACAGCUCUCUCUGCUCUCAGGCCACAGAUUUCCUCACCCAGCCGCUGCUGCUAAGUUAAUUGUCCUUGCUUGCAAAUGUAUUUGUAUCAUACGAGCCUUUCCAUUAAUGCUCUGAGAUGAAAAGUCAUAAAAUUAGAUGUGUUUUUCAAUGACACUUGAAUUGUACCUGAAUUACAGCAAUGGCCACAGUGGUGCAGCUGUAAACAGGACACAUUGCCAUGAAGAGUCUGGAAUUUUACCGAUCUUAAGAGCUUUCAUGUGGUCAAAAUUUACUGGUGCAACAGCAACAUCAAGAUUCAGCAAAGAAUUCAUCCCAGAUCACUUCAGCAACCAGAGCUGGUGCCUUCCCAGAAAAAUGACUGCAGUAUAUAUGGCUACCUAGGCCACGGUGAGCCACGGUGCAACUACAGAUAGAUACACAUACAUAUGUGUGUAUAUGUAUGUAUAUGGACACACAUAACAGCUUUCAUUUUUGAAGUUGCUGCUCUUAACUGAACCGCUUUGUAUCUUCUUAAGAAAACAGACGUGUGAGGUGAAACAAUUCUGUAUCUCCAGGAUACUUAGAAAACAUCUGAAAAAAUGCACUGUUAUCUGCUAAAUUAAGCUAGCUCUUUCAAGGAGAAAGUCAACUUUCAGUUACUGGAGAGAAAGAACAUGAAUUCCAGAAAAGAAUGGGGGAAAUGUUUAUUGUAUUGUCCAGGGACUUUUUCACUCACCUCCCCAUGUAUUUUUGUGAGAUCCAGUUAACUAUGAGGAACAAGGGCACAUGAGCCCACCCAGUCCAAACCAUUGUGUCUUAGAGAAAUUCAUGAAAGGGCAGACUGAGAUUCUCACUGGCCAAUAUUUCCUCCAGUGCCCUGGUAUCUAAUCAGGUUGUUUUUUCUGCCUUUCUUUUUAUUGUGUGCUAUGAAUACCAUCUGCAAAAGAAAUCACAGUGCCCGUCAUUAACUGAAGCCCUUGCUGUGGACUUGGGUGCUGCUCAAACACACUACCCUGCACGAUGCCUCCCUGAGCCAGCUCCCCUCCUCACUGCCCAGUUACAGCUCUCCAGCCAUUGCUUUCCACCUGUUCUGACUAUUUUGUUGUUGUGCAGCUUCUGGUAUAAAAGAAACAGCUAUUGCUGGAGAAGAGAGUAGGAAGGUCACAAACACUGUUAUGAAAUAGUAAUUCUGUUAAGAACAAUCUGAGCAUUCAACAUCACCUACCGCUGGCCCCAGUCAAACCUCUGUUAGAGUACAACUCUGCUUCUCAGCCAAGAAAACAUUUUUCAUCAGCUUAGUUAUUUCAAAAGAAACUUGAAUGCAAAUCUGACAUUAGGUGGGGAAGCAGAUGCAUUUGGUGAGAGUCUUACAGCUGUGAAAUGAGAGUGAUGCAAUGCUAUUUUUUCAAUUGUUUUUUUCUGAUUAUUGCUUCCAGAUAUUGAAAACUGCUGUUUUCCAAUGGGAAAAUAACCAAAGCUGGAAGACAUCACUGUUAUCAUGCCUAGAUGACAAAAUAAUGCUCCUUUCCUUCCUGUCCUUCCUUUCUUUCCUUGCUUCCUUCCUUUCCUUCUUUCUUUUCCAUUUUUAGAAUAGAUUUAAGGAUUUAUAUAACUCACACCAGAAAGCAAACCCUUGUGUAUCGCUCAAGAGCUAGACAUGUAGUAAGGGCACUAAAGGGUACACGUGCACCCUGAGUCAAUUAAUUGUUUUGCCCUGAUCUGUGAGCUCAUGCUAAAGAAGACUUCAAAAUCCUUGAGUUCUGCUCUGCUUAUAUUCCAGACAGAGGUACUAACUUUGGUCAUUUCUCAUGCAGUGAGUCACAACUCCAGUCAGCCCUUCUCUCCCUUUCUCUGUCACACAUGAAAAAUCCCUGAGGCCAUCUAUCCCUAAUCAGACUGAUUAUAAUUCAGUUCCAAUUCAGCAAAUAUAAAACAACAAAAGCACUGGAACAGGACAGAAAUCUGGCCCGAAGAGCUACAAAUCUAUGAAAAAUAACACUGUUCAACAGUUGUCCAGAUUUAAUUUUAGGAUAAACAUUAGAACACAUCACCUGGGAUUGAUUUAAUAUUUGUGGUACUAAUUUAGAUCAUUUAAUUUGCAGAAUUUUUGGUUCAUCAUCUGUUCCCACAGCUCAGUCAAUACUGUGGCUCAGCUCACAAAGGGAAUUGAUCUGAAGGCCAUUCUUUACAAGACAGAUUAAUUUUUGUUGAUUGAUUGAUUGGACUCUUUCCACUACGCAUACUAAUUCUGGACCAUUUAAAGCUUAUAAGGUUUUAUAUUGAGAUUCAUUGAUUUCACAGUUAUAAAAUGAUGAAUGGGUUUUCAGCCAAGGGAAGGCAAUUGAUGUAAGCUUGAGGAGAGAGACCAAGAUAAUCAGUAUAUAGUGGAAAGUGCAGAGCUGCAAUGUUCCCUCUGUUUCUGUCCAGAUUUUCCCCAGAUGGAAGGGGAUCAAAGCGAUAGUAGGGCCAUGUUGGGCACUUUUGCCAAGUCUGCACCGCAGGCUUUGCUGCUUCCCAGCUCUGAUGUCCAGGUAAAGAUCUCCUGAUUAAAACAGAACUGGAGGAGCCAGCCUAUCCCUGGCUUCAUCAUAGCCACCAACCAUACACUUCUUACAGCCUAUGGUUCUGCCUUUUCUUCUUCUUUUUCUCUUUCUUUUUCUCUUUCUCUUUUUUUUCUUCUUUUUCUUUUUCUUUUCCUUUUUCUUUUCUUUUUCCUUUUCUUCUCUUCUCUCUUACUGGGGCUUAUUGAGGGUUUUUAUCAUUCUUCUUCAAUGCUCUAAAAUCACAUAUCCUCCCUGGGAAAGAAUUUAAGUAUUCUGAUUGUUAGAAUGUGCUUUCAUGUAAAAGUGCAACAUACAUGGUGCAAUAUAUUCAUGUAUGUUGCCAAAGGUACCCAAACUAAUAUCAUUUUAAGAUAAAAUAUUGUGUCUUUAAAAGUGUUUUUGUAAUUAAUUUCCUUGUACUUCUAGAAGGACAAGACAAAGAAAUUAAGAUAAUUGCCCAUGUUUCAGAAGAUUUUGUAUCCACUAAGUUAUCUCCUAAAAUUUGCAGGAUAAAAUCGAUCUCAGCAUCCUAUUUUCUAUAGUCAGCCCCCACACAGCUGGGAAACGUAAGCCUUUUAUUCAGUGUUUUUUCCAGGCAGUGUUUAAAGUGUUACCAAAAAGUCUUGGACUUGUAGCACUGGCGGGGAUCUUGUCACUGAGGAAUACCAGCUGAGAGAGCACUUUGCCUUCUGUAUCAGCUGUUUGGUUUUCCAGUAUGGAUGGAGGACUGUUCUUCAGAGGCUGAGCCUCAUUUGCAUCUGGUUCCUCUCAUCAGACUGCUACAUUCAGUAACCUUCAGCUUACAAAGGUGUGUGAAGUAUGCCUUCAGUUUGGUCUGUGUGAUUUGGUAGAGUACUGUGCCUUAAAAACUGAAAUGUCUGACAGCAAUCAUUCUCUCUUUUCAGCAUUUCUCAAUAUUUUAGAUUAUAAAGUCUGGAUGGCUAGGAAAUAAGCACCACCACAAGUAAAUAAUAAAGACGUGAAUCUGGAAUAUGAUCCUGCACCGGACAUGUUAAGCAUCUUCUCCAGAGGAAAGCCAUCCAGCUUGGAAUCUGUAGAAUUCUUUUGGUUAAAAGAACUUGAUCUCAAGCCUCUUUCUUUCUCCAAGUCAUACUGUCAGGAUUUAGUUUCACAGACCAUUCACUACUUUGUACACUCCUCACAAAUAUCACCUUGGAAGGAGAUUUAUCUCUCUCUACAGAGAGAGAAACGCAAGCUGCUUCAAUUUUAUCUAGUUGUCAUACUGUGUGUAUUACGAACUACCACUUCAGUCCACUUCUUGUUCCAUCAAAUGGCUUCAAAGCAGGUGAUACAUAGAUGGUCAAGGAGGAAAGCACUUCAGGGCAAAGUGUGUUCUGAGCUACACUUGUAAAUGAGCAGUAACUUUUGAUUUCAUUGCAGUAACACUGGUUUCUACACCACUAUAUUUAUCUGUCACUUUAUUUUUCUCUUCCAUCAGAGAGAUUUGUAGACAUAUUGUAUUUAGAGACGUUGUCACGCUGAAAAAUAAAACUACUACCCAACAUUUUACUAGUUAGAAUUAAUUUGACAUGCAACUUAUCAUUUUGCAUAUCACUGGACUAUAGCCUUUUCAAUUACACCAUUUCUUUGCAACUCCAAUUAAACUGUUAAUUGAUGUCACUAUUGUCAAAUUGCAAGCAUUUUUUUACAUACAAAUAGCAAGGAAAAAAGAGAGAAGAUCCAGAAUUAAUAGAAAAUAGCAGCAGGUUUCCAGUCUCAGAC